CCUACGGGGGGCUGCAGUAGGGAAUAUUGCUCAAUGGGGGAAACCCUGAAGCAGCAACGCCGCGUGGAGGAUGAAGGUUUUCGGAUUGUUAACUCCUUUUGUUAGAGAAGAUAAUGACGGUAUCUAACGAAUAAGCACCGGCUAACUCCGUGCCAGCAGCCGCGGUAAUACGGAGGGUGCAAGCGUUACUCGGAAUCACUGGGCGUAAAGAGCGAGUAGGCGGGAUAGCAAGUCAGAUGUGAAAUCCUAUGGCUUAACCAUAGAACUGCAGUUGAAACUGUUAUUCUUGAGUAUGGGAGAGGUAGGUGGAAUUCUUGGUGUAGCGGUAAAAUCCAUAGAUAUCAAGAGGAAUACUCAUUGCGAAGGCGGCCUGCUAGAACAUAACUGACGCUGAUGCGCGAAAGCGUGGGGAGCAAACAGGAUUAGAUACCCCAGUAGUC
rnacentral:rRNA from 1 species